GACAGAGGCCCCAAGCAUUACCCGGAAUCACUGGGCGUAAAGGGUGUGUAGGCGGUCGUGUUAGUCCUUUGUGAAAGCCCGCGGGCUUAACCCGUGGAACGCAGGGGAAACGGCACGGCUUUGAGGGUGCGAGAGGUGCACGGAACUCAUGGUGUAGGGGUGAAAUCCGUUGAUAUCAUGGGGAACACCGAUUGCGAAGGCAGUGCACUGGCGCAUUCCUGACGCUGAGACGCGAAAGCGUGGGUAGCGAAUGGG
rnacentral:misc_RNA from 1 species